UAGAGGGAGUGCUCUUCGGAGAGCGCGGUGACAGGUGCUGCAUGACUGUUGUCAGCUCGUGUCGUGAGAUGUUCGGUUAAGUCCGGCAACGAGCGCAACCCCUAUCUUUAGUUGCCAUCAGGUGAUGCUGGGCACUCUAGAGAGACUGCCGGAGUGAAUUCGGAGGAAGGUGGGGAUGACGUCAAGUCCUCAUGGCCCUUAUAUCCAGGGCUACACACGUGCUACAAUGGUCGGUACAAAGGGCUGCUAACUCGCGAGAGUGUGCCAAUCCCAAAAAACCGGCCUCAGUUCGGAUUGCAGUCUGCAACUCGACUGCAUGAAGCUGGAAUCGCUAGUAAUCGUGGAUCAGCAUGCCACGGU
rnacentral:rRNA from 1 species